GACGAACGCUGGCGGCGUGCUUAACACAUGCAAGUCGAACGCUGAAGCUCAGCUUUUGUUGGGUGGAUGAGUGGCGAACGGGUGAGUAACACGUGAGUAACCUGCCUCCUUCUUUGGGAUAACGCCCGGAAACGGGUGCUAAUACUGGAUAUUCACUGGUCUUCGCAUGGGGGUUGGUGGAAAGGGUUUUUCUGGUGGGGGGUGGGCUCGCGGCCUAUCAGCUUGUUGGUGGGGUGAUGGCCUACCAAGGCUUUGACGGGUAGCCGGCCUGAGAGGGUGACCGGUCACAUUGGGACUGAGAUACGGCCCAGACUCCUACGGGAGGCAGCAGUGGGGAAUAAUGCACAAUGGGCGCAAGCCUGAUGCAGCGACGCCGCGUGAGGGAUGGAGGCCUUCGGGUUGUGAACCUCUUUCGCUCAUGGUCAAGCCGCAACAAUGGUUGUGGUGAGGGUAGUGGGUAAAGAAGCGCCGGCUAACUACGUG
rnacentral:rRNA from 1 species